CAGCAGCCGCGGUAAUACAGAGGGUGCAAGCGUUAAUCGGAAUUACUGGGCGUAAAGCGCGCGUAGGUGGUUUGUUAAGUUGGAUGUGAAAGCCCCGGGCUCAACCUGGGAACUGCAUCCAAAACUGGCAAGCUAGAGUACGGUAGAGGGUGGUGGAAUUUCCUGUGUAGCGGUGAAAUGCGUAGAUAUAGGAAGGAACACCAGUGGCGAAGGCGACCACCUGGACUGAUACUGACACUGAGGUGCGAAAGCGUGGGGAGCAAACAGGAUUAGAUACCCCUGUAGUCCCUGUCUCUUAUAA
rnacentral:rRNA from 1 species